ensembl:lncRNA
CUUUUCUGUUUCAUAUCCCACCUUUAUAUGUGUUGCCAGCCUUAGAUUUGAUGGAAGUGUUUUAGUGAAGUUCUAAUCAGUUCACACAGUGUGCUCCUCAUUACUCAAAGUUUGGCAAAUCACCAACAUAUUUGCUUUUUAAGUCACAUUAGGCUUGACAAAACUGGCCAGUUGAAGAUGGAUAAACGUAUUCUGGUGCGAUGAAUCUCUGUUUCUGCUGAUCGACUGCAUGAAUCCACCGACACCACCUGCCUUCCUGAAAGAGAUGGCAGCAGGAUACACAACAGGAAGAAGGCAAACCAGCAGUGUGAUGUUCUGGACAAUGUUCUGCUGGGGAAAACUGGGUCCCACUUUGAUUAGAUGGAGCAGUGCAGAGAAGUGAAGCUGACAGCCGGAGUGAGGAGGACGAGAUGAAAAGGAGAGCGGA